rnacentral:rRNA from 1 species
UACGGGGGGGGCAAGCGUUGUUCGGAAUUACUGGGCGUAAAGGGUUCGUAGGUGGCCUGCUAAGUCAGACGUGAAAUCCCUCAGCUUAACUGGGGAACUGCGUCUGAUACUGGUGGGCUUGAGUGCAGGAGAGGAACGCGGAAUUCCAGGUGUAGCGGUGAAAUGCGUAGAUAUCUGGAGGAACACCGGUGGCGAAGGCGGCGUUCUGGGCCGGUACUGACACUGAGGAGCGAAAGCGUGGGUAGCAAACAGG